CAGUCGCCGCGGGAAUACGGAGGAUCCAAGCGUUAUCCGGAAUCAUUGGGUUUAAAGGGUCCGUAGGCGGUUUAGUAAGUCAGUGGUGAAAGCCCAUCGCUCAACGGUGGAACGGCCAUUGAUACUGCUGAACUUGAAUUAUCAGGAAGUAACUAGAAUACGUAGUGUAGCGGUGAAAUGCUUAGAGAUUACAUGGAAUACCAAUUGCGAAGGCAGGUUACUACUAAUUGAUUGACGCUGAUGGACGAAAGCGUGGGGAGCGAACAGGAUUAGAUACCCCGGUAGUCCCUGUCUCUUAUAC
rnacentral:rRNA from 1 species